rnacentral:rRNA from 1 species
AACGCUAGCGGCAGGCUUAACACAUGCAAGUCGAGGGGUAACAGGGAUUGCUUGCAAUCCGCUGACGACCGGCGCACGGGUGCGUAACGCGUAUGCAACCUACCUUCUACAGGGGGAUAGUUAAUAGAAAUGUUGAAUAAUACCCCAUACGAUCAUGAAUUCGCAUGGAUUUAUGAGGAAAGUUCCGGCGGUAGAAGAUGGGCAUGCGUCCUAUUAGUUAGUUGGUAAGGUAACGGCUUACCAAGACAUCGAUAGGUAGGGGUCCUGAGAGGGAGAUCCCCCACACUGGUACUGAGACACGGACCAGACUCCUACGGGAGGCAGCAGUGAGGAAUAUUGGACAAUGGAGGCAACUCUGAUCCAGCCAUGCCGCGUGCAGGAAGACGGCCCUAUGGGUUGUAAACUGCUUUUAUACAGGAAGAAUUGUGCCUACGUGUAGGUAUUUGACGGUACUGUACGAAUAAGGAUCGGCUAACUCCGUGCCAGCAGCCGCGGUAAUACGGAGGAUCCAAGCGUUAUCCGGAAUCAUUGGGUUUAAAGGGUCCGUAGGCGGUCUGAUAAGUCAGAGGUGAAAUCCUGCAGCUCAACUGUAGCAUUGCCUUUGAUACUGUUAGACUUGAGUUAUUGUGAAGUAGUUAGAAUGUGUAGUGUAGCGGUGAAAUGCAUAGAUAUUACACAGAAUACCGAUUGCGAAGGCAGAUUACUAACAAUAUACUGACGCUGAGGGACGAAAGCGUGGGUAGCGAACAGGAUUAGAUACCCUGGUAGUCCACGCCGUAAACGAUGGAUACUAGCUGUUCGACCAACAUUGGUUGG